rnacentral:lncRNA from 1 species
UCUAACUCAGGACCUUCCUUAUGAUCAGUCCCAUUGGGAAAGUUUCAAUGUGGUGCCAUCUUCUACAUCCCCAGAAGCUGCCGCCGCCGCCGCCGCCGCCGGUGCUUACACUCCUACACCUGACCUUCUCGGCCUUUUCCAUUUACCUAGAUGCUCUUUCCUCCCUAAUCCCUCCAUUUCCUUUGAAACCACACCUGGCUCCCCUUCUGUUGUGUACGACCCACUUUUCCAUCUCAACCUGCCUCCUCAACCUCCUGUUUUCAGGGAGCUGCUGCAGUCUCUGCCGCAUGGCUACACCGUUCCAGCUGAUGACAAAGAUGCCGCUGGGAUUGGAGGACUUUAUCAUGAUGGGGACAAUGGCAUAAUUCAGUUCACCAGGGACAUCUCUAUGGCAGGCCGUGCCAAAGACAGGGAUAAAGCUGGCAAAACCACCAAACACUUUGCCACUGAGAGGGAAAGGAGAGUCCAUCUAAAUGACAAGUACCAGGCUUUAAGGACCAUGGUCCCUAGUCCCACCAAGGUACAUAACCAACCACUUCAUCCUUAAACAGCCUGUUUCUUUUAUGACAAUUGCACUAACAAUGUUUCAUUCUUUCGGUGUUUGUUAAUAUGUUUCUUUGGUGGUGGGGGAAACGGAAAUUUCAUUGCCUAUAACCAAGAAUGAUAGAGCAUCCAUAGUUGGAGAUGCUAUAGACUACAUCAAGGAACUUCUUGGAACUGUUCGUGAGCUUCAAUUACUGGUGGACAAAAAGAGAUGCGGCCAAGACAGGAGCAAAAGGCUUAAGACUGAAGAUGCUGCUAGUGCUGCUGAUGCAGGGGAUGUUGAGUUCAAGUCUUUAGGUGAUCCAGACCAAUGCUAUAAUACUUCCUUGAGGAGUUCUUGGCUUCAAAGGAAGUCUAAGGAUUCUGAGGUUGAUGUACGCAUCGUUGAUGAUGAAGUUACCAUCAAACUUGUUCAAAGAAAGAAGAUCAACUGCUUGCUGUUUGUGUCCAGACUCCUUGAUGAGCUUCAGUUGGACCUCCUACAUGUUGCUGGUGGCAACAUUGGUGACUAUUACAGCUUUCUCUUCAACACCAAGGUAAACAUCUCCCUUAAACAUACAUAUUAUUUUAUCCAGCAUAUGUAUGUUUGACAAUUUUGAGUAUAUUUUUGUUGGAAUGGUCAUAAUUCCAUUGCUCCUGUCCGCGAUGCAGAUAUACGAAGGCUCUUCGGUUUAUGCUUGUGCCAUAGCCAACAAGCUCAUCGAUGUCGUGGAUAGACAGUAUGCAGCUGCUCCACCAACUAGUAGUACUUCUCUCUAGUUUAGCAGUGAUGGAAGGGGUUCCAUGUUUUAUGUUUCUGUUUCAAUGGAAAUGAACAACUUCAGUUGUUGAGUUAUCAAGCAUUUCUUUGAAUAGUACUGUUAAUCAAGGAUUCCAUGAUGCUACUUUUUUCAAAGUAUUGAUAUAUAGAUGCACUAGAUAUGGUUUUUUAUUUUGGUAGUCUAACUGUUCCUUAUUGCUUUAGUUUUAUAUAUAUACCAGCAGCAGGGGUUAGAAAUUAAGAGAAAGAAACAAAAACAAUUUGACAAACUGUGAUCCUCCAUUGAUUUUCCUGGUGAUAGCAACCCACAGUUUUAGUGGUUAAAGAAAAAGGAGAAAUUUCUAUAGGAACAAUAUUCCAAAGUGAGGUAUGUUUAAUCAUUACUGUUUUUAUUCUGAAUUGCUUUGAAAUGCCAAAACAGUCGGUUCUUUCACUUUCAGUUGUGAAAUGGAUGUUGAGGAAUGAUGGGCCAUAUUUCUGAAUUUGUUGAAUGACUCUUUUUCACUUGACUUAGGUAGGUCUCUCUUCUCUUUAAGGAUGUGAAUGUUCCACUCAUAAUAUAUGUAAUGUAUGCAUACAUAAUAUUUUCUUAGGUACGUCUCUGAGGCCCUUCUUUUGCUUAAUUUCGGAUUAUCAAACCACAAAUACUCUGAGAUGGGCUCAUAGGAUGGCCCCUGUUACAUUCUUGGUACGGGUAGAUGCAAUUAGCCCAUACACGAAACUGAAUUCAUUCAUUCAAUUGUUUACGUAGCAUCUAGUGUUCCAAACCAACACAACAACUACGAAUGCUGAUAAGUAAUAUGAUGUUUCUCGUCUUAAAUUAUAUUAUUUAUAUGUAUAUUUAAUUUAUUAUUGAUUUUUGUCAUAACUUGAGUUACAGACUUCCGUGUUGGACCUAUGAUAUAUUGAUUCGAAGAAAAUUAAAAGAUUUAUCUGAAGUUGUUUCACAGAAGAAGACAUUUAAAAAUGAUCUAAAAGUUUAAUGUGAAACUAACUGAAAAACCUAAAAAAAACUCUACUUUAUUUUAUUAAGGACACUUUAGUAUUUUCUACAUCAUCUUAUUUUGUUUUCUUUAUUUUAUGGUUUGAAAGUAAAUAACCAAGUUACGUUGGUCAAAUAUACCAACAAAAAAGACAAAUUUUAUCAUAUUAUCAACUGCGUCUCUAGUUGUUGUUGGCGUCGUAAUUGAUAGGUAAAACUGUCAUUAACAAAUAUAACUUAAUUGUUAUCUGAUUAACUCAUAAUACUAAUUUAAUUAGAGAUGUCAUGACACCAAUUGAAUUAAAAUAAAAUAAACAGUUAAAUUUAUAUUAGUAAGAUUAUUUAGGUAAUUUAACCUUUAAAAAAAAAAAUUCACACUCUAGAUUUAAACUUUGGCACCUCAAGAGCCAACUGUCUCGACCUUUUCAACACAAAUAAAAUAUAAUUAACAGUAUUUAUUUAUUAUUCAUAAUAUUACUCUUUUUCAAAAAAGUAAUUGCUUAAAUAUUUUUAUUCUUUUCACCCACACAACCGGAAAAAAUUUAAGUGGGUAGCAGAAUUAAAUUAUAGGGGAGGUAAAAUAUAAAUUUAUUAUUAUAUUAAUUUGUAAUUUUUUAAUUAAAAAAAGUUUAUUAUUUGUUUAAAUUUCAGAAAUAUAGGGAUUUAGUAAUAAUUUUUAACUUACACGAAAUCACAAUUUUCCUUAAGGAUUGGAUGCCGACAAUAUAUUUUGUAUAUAUGCAAUACAUACGUUUGCUUCAAUCAAUGAUUUCUUGGUUUGCUUUCCUUCCCAAACUAACUAACUAAAAGCAAUAGGUUAAAAUAAGUCCCUACACUCUUGAUAAAUUUAAAUUUAAUCUCUAUUCUUUUAUUUUUAGAAAUUUUAUCUCUCUAUUUUUCAGAUUUUAAAGGUCCAACUGUUAAUAGUCUUAAAAUUAUUUUAUUAAAUUUAGGUUCAUUAAAACGUCAUUUUUUAGUUACAUUUUUACCAAGUGACUAUUUUUUUCUAUUUAAAAAAUGUCACAACAAUAAAUUUAACAAAAAAAAUUAAUAGUGUUAACAAUUAGACCUGAAUUCUUGAAAUUAGAAAAGCAAAUAGACUAAAUCCUUAAAAAUAAAAGUAAACUAACUAAAAUCCAAAUUUAUGAAGAAUACAAGGACCUAUGAGAUAUUUUAACCAAAGGAAAAAAAAAGAUUAUAAGAAGCAAAACAGAUUAGAGAAAUAAAUAGUGGUCAUUGGGUUCUUAAUAUUUGGAGCAUUUCCGGUUAGUUAAUAAGUUGUUGAGAAAUUGAUGAAUGUGCAAUUUCUUAUUUAAAAUAAAAAUCCUUAAAUUAAUAUAUAUGUAUUGUAAAAUGGAUGUUUAUAUAACUUCCAUAACCUUCAACAAAUUUUUUUCUUCCAACUCCUGCAACCCUAAAAAUUUAUAGGGUACCUUAAUUAUAUAUUUGUAACUUACGGUGAUUGAGGUUCUAUAAAUAGAGGUCAUGUAUAAGCUUUUUGAUAUCCCAAGGGAAAGUUGAAUCAUCAUUUCAUUUCUUUGUCUUUCUUUCUUUCUUAAUAUUUGUAUUCUUCUUUUAGUUUUAUAAUACGUUAUCAAUACAGUUUUAUUCGAGAGUAAUAUAUUCUUAGUUUGUGUCAAAAUUUUGUUGGGAUCCAAGUAUUGAAAUUUAACUGUUUGGUUUAAGAAUCAUUAGAAUCAUGACUAUUUGAUAUUUGUUUGGGAAUGAUCUCUCUCUUCAUUACAAAAGAUGCUUAUAAUCACUACUUCUCAUCAAUGGUAAUGUAAGAAGUCUAAUCAACUUUUUUUGAAAUUUGAUUUGAUUUCUAUUAAAAAUUUUAAUUUAUAUAAUUCUCUAUUCGUAUCUCUGUGAAUUUAUAAAACCUUUCACACAUUUAGCUAUUGGGAUUUUUAUGUGGAGAUAAAUAUUUUUUUAUUUUUUUUGGUUCAUUUUUAAUAAAAAUUGAUUGGUUUAAUUUUAAUUUUGAUUAAGAUAUAUGAUUAUUACGGAAUGGGAGUAAAAAUAUUAACUUGUUAUGAAUUUUGAGAUAUUCACCCUGUCUGGAUAGUUUCAUGAUUAUUGUAAAAUUUGAAAUGAAAUUAUGCCAUAAGAGGUGGAGGUUAGAAAAUGUUUACAUUUAGACUUUUUAUAGUUGUAAAGUUACUUUAAUCUGACGUUAUAAUAUUUUGUAUUUUGUUGCGUUACGGUAUAUAAAAAAAUUAUCUAAUCAUAGUGAUUUAUUAGUAACAUGAAUUUAUUAUUUGUUAUGUUUAAUAUAUGUUUUAUUUAUAUCUAUUCAUUUUAUUUUUACAUGAAUAAAUAAAGUUUUUGAAUAUCAAAAAAUUUUAUCGUUUAUGUUGAAAAGAAGGACAAAAGUGUAUAUUAUUUAAAAUAUUUUAAACAUUCAUUAAGGUUAUGUAAUAAAAUGAUUAGAUGCUUCUAAAAAGCUAAUAAUCUUGCAUCAAACUGUAAAAGACUCUUUAAGAGCUAAUAUUUUACCUCUUUGUGAUGCAAAAUUUUAUAAAAUAUAAUAUUAUUUUUCAGAUCAAGAAGAUAUAUGUUGAAGGAAACCUUUAUGUGUUUUACAUUAAAAUCAUAUAUAGAAAUAACAUGAGAUACUUGUGUAUUUGUAUUAUAUUUAUUCCCCAAAGGAAUACAUUACACUUAUAUGAUUGAAAUAAGUAAUGUGCUCCUACAAUAACAAUAUUGUGAAAAAGACUUUAAAAAAUAUUUUGAAACGAUCUUAUACCUUCUAGUGGCUAAGUAAAAUAAUAAGUUAUUGAUGAAAAACCAUGAAAUUCUUCCCAUUAGUUCUGCUCCAUUCCUCGAAGUAAAUGUAGCAGUACAUAACAAUUAUGAAAAAUGAAAGCAUAAAGAUCAUGGUUGUCGUUCUAAUUGAGGAUGUGGUUGGAGUCGUACUAAUAACUGUUAUCAUGGUGGUUAUAAUACUGGUACUUCUAACCACUAAAAAAAAGAAUAAUAAUGAAAAACAAGAAAAUGGUGGUCAAAAUAUUUGAAGGUUACUGAAAAUCCAUACUACCAAUGUAGUAUGAAAAUGCGUUGGUCACAUACAUGUCCUACUUUUAAACAUCUAGUAAAAUUUUAUCAAAGAAUCCAUUAAAAAAAGAAGGGAAACAAUAUAGAGACAAACUUCGUUAUCUAAAAUGAUGAAAUGGAUAAUAAUUUUUCGACAAAAGAUGACAAUUUUUAUUAUGAUGCUAAAGCUAACCAUGCAUACAAGGAUGAUGAUUUUAAAGGUCUUAAUUGUAACAGCCCGUUUUCAGUGAAAUCAGAACAGUGGUUUCAGGACCACAAAUCCAAGUCCUUAAGAAAAAUUAUUUUAACAUUAUUUCACGGUCUACCAUAUGAUAAGAAUAUCGUAUAAAAAUUUCAUUAAGAAAAAUUUUACCGAUUACAUGUUUAAUUGAUAAAAUGACCAAAUUGCAUGAAAUGCAAAAGUUGAGUUCUAGUAGCUAUAAGUAUCAAAUAGCUAUGGAAUUCAAAAUUUGAGGUCCUUAUAUGGUAAAUAAACCAUUAAGAGAAGUUAUUAGAUAAGUAUGAUGAUUCAUCCAUGGAAAAUUAAAUAAAGAAAAGGACUAAAUUGGAAAGUAAAAAUAAUUAAAGAUGAUAAAUAAUAAAAUAAUGAAACUAUCAUCAUAUGAUCAUCUUUCCCAAAUUAUUUUACAUGGAAACCCUAGUUAGAAGAGCUUGAAGGUAGCAAGCUUAUUUGGUUCAAUUAGGUAAGUAUUCAAGUUCCGUUUUUAAUGAUUUUUAUGUUUUCGAGAUCGUAAAAGCUUAAUUGAGCUAUCUCGAGGAUUAAUUUGUAAAUUUAUCAAAGUAUUAGGGUUUUUUCAUGGAUGAGUAUACAUGAAUUAUGAAUUUUUAUGGUGGAAAAUGAAAGGUUGUUGAUAGAUAAACAAAUUUUGUAAAGGGAAUUUUGAUGAAAUUGUGAUUUAGGGACUAAAUUGUAAAGAUGUAAAAUUCAUGGAAAAAUUCUAAAUUUUAUGAAAUAAAUAGGCUGUUAAUGUUACAUGUAAAAAUCGGCUAGGCUUGGAAUAAGGAUUAAAUUGCAUGAAUUUUAUUUUCCGAGCCUAGGGACGAAAUCAUAAUUAAAUAAAAAUAUAGGGGCAAAAUAAUAAUUUUUCCUAAGAUGUGAAUUAGAUUGAAUUGAAUAUGAAUUGUAUUAGAUUGAGCUAAAUUUACUCGUAUAGAUCCAGAUAGAUCAAAUGCGGAAUUGGAUCGAGGAAAAGAAAAAGUAUCGAAUUAGUAGAUUUCAAUUCACGAACACUUGUUAAUGUAAGUUCAUGUGACUAAAUUGAGAAUUCAUAUGUGUUAAUUGAAUUAUAUGUAUGUGAUUGAAUUGUUACUAUGUAUAUGAAAUUAAUCUUAUAUCCGACAAUGUUUGACAAACAUUAAGUCCCGAUUGAAUAAAUGAAAUUCGAUAGAUACAGGGUUCUCGUAUUGGUUGUGGUCUUGCAUAUGUUGUGGAAACACCACAGCUAGAAAGAGCAUCCCGUUAUUAGCCCUCUCGAGCUUCCCGUUAUAUGGUUCUUUGAGCUACUCAUUAAUAGAUCUUCGGAGGAUCUCGAUUGGUCGUGAUCCUGCAUGUGUUAAGUAGACACCACAGCUCUUAUGAGCGUCCCGUUAUAUGGCUAUUCGGAGCUUCCCGAUUAAAGGCUCUUUGUGAGCUUCUUGAUUAAUGGCUCUCCGGAGCUUUCCGAUAUAUAGCUAUCCGGAGCUUCCUGAUUAAUGGCUCUUCAGAGCUACCCAUUAUUGGCUUGCAUGAGCUUCCUGAAUAUGGCUCUUAUGAUUUUUCCAUUAUACAGCCCGGAUAAGCUUUCUGUUUUACAGCUCACAUGAGCUUGCUAUUAUAUGGCUUGAGAGAGAGCUUCCCGUUUAUGUGCUCAUAUGAGCAUUCCCGAAUAUGAAUUGACGGACUACAGUUUUGUACACUUCAAGUGUACUACCUGUGUAUCCAUCGAUAUUUCAAAUAAAUCCAACGAGCGAAGUUUCGACAUGGAAUAAUCUGAACUUGAGAUGAAUUAUUAUGGAAAUUUAUACGUUAUAUGAAUAUAUGAUGUGGAAAACAUAUGUAUAUGAAUAUUGUUACAUGAUGAGCUCAUCCUUAUUUCUUGAUAUUCACAUGAAGUACAUGACUAACAUGUUUCUUGAGGUUAAAUGUGCUUAGGCAAAUUGCCAAAUUUAUUUGGAUGCAUUUUGUAUGAUUAUUUAAUUGAAAAUGAUUGGUAAGUAAAUUUUCUGUUAUACGAGUUUACUAAGCAUUAAAUGCUUACUCUGUUUUAUUUCCUCUAUUUUAUAGUACUCGGAGGCUCGUAAAGGUUGGAAGCUGGUCGGAGUCACAUCACACUAUCCCUCGAACUUUUCGAUAUAUAUAUAGUAAACUAAUUUUGGUUAUAAUGGCAUGUAUAGGCUAAAUAUGACCAAUGAUGGCAAUGUAAAUGUUUGGUUGUAACUAGCCAUUGGGAUGACUUGUGAAUGACAUAUUUUGAUGAGUUUAUAUAUAGUCUUAAUGUGUUUGAUGAGUCUUUGAAUUGGUUAAAUGAUGGAAAUUAUACAGGCUCAUUAUUAAUUGAUUUGAGUUAGUAUAAUUGGUAAGAUAUGCAUGUACGUGAAAUGGUUCAAUUAGGGGAAAUUGAAUACUUGGAUAUAUAGGAUGUUAUAAUAUGUACUAAACUUGGUUUUUGCAUGAUUUGAAUGAUUGGCAUUGCCUUGUGAAUGUGUUUAAGUGUUCAUGUAGGUGGAAGACAACUUGGGUGAGAAAAGUGGCAUUGGAAAUGACUUAUUUUCGUCCACACGGGCAAAGCAACGGUGUGUGUCUCAACCGUGUGUGACGCACGGCCUAGCACAUGGGCGUGUGAUCUAGUCGUGUGUCCAUUGCCGUGUGACCCUUGCACUUAUUUAACGAUGUUCACACGGCCUAGCACACGAGCAUGUGGCUUGGCCGUGUGACCCAAGUUAGAGAGUUACACGGGUUGGACAUUGCCAUGUGCCUUAUUUUGAAUGCCCAAACGGCCUGAGACACGGGUGUGUGUCCUCUGCACCUUGGAAAAAUUUUAAAAUUUUGCGAAAAAUUUUCUAAGUACUCGGUUUAGUCCUAACUUGUUUCUAAUGUGUAUUUUAGACCUCGAGGGUUCAUAUAAAGGACUUUAUGAAUAAUUUAUGAUAUGAAUGUUAAGUAAUAUGAAUUGUCUGUAUUUGAUCUGUAUAUUCCGGUAAUGCUCCUGUAACCUUGUUCCGGCGACGGAUAUGGGUUAGGGGUGUUACAUUAAUGGUAUAGCUCGUUUGUAUGUUAUUAAUUUUCAUUCAUAAGAAAUAGUUUUAUAUAUUUUUUAUGACUAUUUGUAAUAUUUUUUAUUCCUUUAAAGAACAAUAUGAUUUUUUUUUGUCCUUUCGUUAAAUCCAAGAAUAUAGACAUAUGUCACAUAGAUUUUACUACAACAUAUUCUAUUUUUAAAGGUAAAAGGUUAUUCUCAUUUAAUAUCAUAUUAGGUAAAUACUAAAGUAAUAAAAGGCUACAGAAGAGCUAUGAUAAUAUUAUUUCAAGGGUAGAAUAUAUUAUAGAUGAUGCAUUGUUUUCAUCUAAGUCUCAAAUAAAUUUAGCUUUAUAGAUAUUAGCUGAAAUAGAUAUCAUAUCAAGAACAAAUGAGAAAAAAAAAUAUUGAAUAUCUAUAAAUUGAAUGUGAAAAGAAAUAUGAUUUGGGAAGACUACCUGUUUUUUCAUCAGGUUUAUAUUAUACACAUUAGUAAAAUUGAGACACAUGUUACUAUAAACCAGAAGUUUGUAGAACCACAUACUUUUAUUAUUUGGCAUGACUGAUUAGGUCAUCUCGGAUAAUAUAUGAUGAGAAAAUUGAUCAAGAAUUCAUAUGGACUUUCAUUAAAGAACCAAAAGAUUCUUUAAUUUAAAAGAAUUCUCAUGUGUUGUUUGUUCUCAAUGAAAAUUGAUUAUUAGAAACUCACUAACUAAAGUUGAGAUUUAAUGUCUUGCAUUUCUUAAAUGAAUAUGGGUCCAUUCAUCCACCAUGUGGAUGAUUUUGAUAUUAUAUGAUUUUGGUAGAUGUAUCUACAAAAUAAUCACAUAUGUGAUAUCAACUCACAAACUAUCGUUGUCGAUUAGGAUAAAAAUUAAACAUCCUGUGGCUUAUGUUCACGUAGAAAACGAUUUAGCUAAAUUGUUUAUCAAUCGCCUCCAACCAAUAGCUAGGCCCUUACUUAUGAGAACAAAACUCCCUAUUACAAUUUAGGGAUAUGCUAUUUUGCAUGCAACAGUACUUGUGCGCAUCAGGCCAACAAAUUAUUAUAAAUACCCCCCAUUACAAUUGGCUUUUGGUCAUGAGCCAAAUAAUUCUCAUCUUAGAAUUUUUGAACGUGCAGUAUAUGUUUCAAUUGCUCCACCAAAAUGUACAAAGAUGAGUGAGUCCUCAUAGGAGGUUAGGAAUGUACAUUGAUAUAAAUCUCCUUCUAUUAAUAAAUAUCUUUGAGAUAUUAAUUGGAGAUUUAGUUAUGACAUAAGUUGCCAAUUAUUAUGAGAUAGUUUUCCCAACAUUAGGGGGAGAGAAUAAAAACUGGAUGAAUAAAAUACUUAGAAUGAAUUAUCAUUAUCUAAAAUCCUUGUAAAAAGCAACGUGACCCAGAAGUUCAGUAGAUAAUUUAUUUUACAAAUAAACUAUCAGAUUCAUUUACUUACUUAAAAGAGAAUUACAAAAUCUCACAUACCAGCUGAAAAUGCUCCAAUACAAAUUGAUGUCCCAAUAGGGUAAACUGUUAGUGUAAAAGAAAGUAAUCCAUGCCUGAAGCAUGAAAGACCAGUCAGUUCUACAGAUAAAAUUUCUCGUAAAAUGAAAGGAGAAAAUAUUCAAGAUGGUCGUCCAUAUUGUGAAGACAAAUGCCCAAGAAGAGGCCAAAGAUAUAACUAAUAAUAAUAACCCAAAAGAGGUUCAGGUAUUUGAAAAUGGUGAUAACAAAGAGAUCUCGAUAAAUUAUGUUCCUUCAAGAAAAAAAUGGAGCUGAAAAAAUAUCAUUGUCGACAACAAUUUUGCUUAUAAUGUUUCUAUUGAAAUAUCAAAAGAAAAUGAAGAUCUUGAGCCUAAAUCUAUUGAGGAAUGUAGAAAUAAAAAAAGAUUGGCCAAAAUGGAAAGACGCAAUUCAAGCACAAUUGAAUUCACUUUCUAAAAGUGAGGUUUUUGGAUACAUGUAGUUCAAACACCUAAAGAUUUAAAUUAUGUAAGAUAUAAAUGGGUAUUUGUGCAAAACGAAAUGAGAAAAAUGAAGUUGUAAGAUAUAAAGCACGACUUAUAGCACAAAGAUUUUCACAAAAGACUCAACUUGAUUCCGAAGAGACAUAUUCUCCUAUGGUGGAUGCAAUCAUAUUUAGAUACCUUAUUAGCAUGGUAGUACGUGAAAAACUUGACAUGCGUCUAAUGGAUGUUAUUACAGCCUAUUUGUAUGGUACACUUAAUAGUGAAAUUUAUAUGAAAAUCCUUGAAGGAUUUAAAAUCCUAGAAGGAUAUAGACUUUCUCAAAAAAAUUGCUCGAUCAGAUUAAAGAAAAGUUUAUAUGGAUUAAAACAAUCUGGACGUAUAUGGUACAGUCGUCUUAGUGAAUAUUUGUUAAAAAAGGUUAUAAAAACAAUCCAAUUUAUCCAUGUGUUUUUAUAAAAAUGUCUGGAUUAGAUUUUGUGAUAAUUGUUGUUUAUGUUGAUGAUUUGAAUAUUAUUGGAGCUCUUGAAGAGCUUUAAAAUGUAGUAAAUUAUUUAAAGAAAGAAUUUGAGAUGAAAGAUUUUGAAAAAACAAAGUUUUGUCUUAGCCUGCAGAUCGAGCAUUUAAAAGAUGGAAUUCAUUUCCAUCAGUCCACUUAUAUGAAAAAUAUCUUAAAGAAAUUUUACAUGGAUAAAACACAUCUAUUGAGUACCCUAAUGGUUAUAUGAUCGUUGGAUAUGAAUAAAGAUAAAUUUUAUCCUUGUGAGAAUGAUGAAGAGUUUCUUGGUCUUGAAGCACCAUAUCUAAAUGCUAUAAGGGCAUUGAUGUAUCUUGCAAACAACACAAGACUUGAUAUGGUUUUCGUUGUAAACUUGUUAGUAAGAUUUAGUUCUUCUCCAACACGUAGACAUUGGAAUGCGUCGACUCAAAGAUGUAAUGUGAUGUUGUCAUUAGGGAGAGUCAAAUACACGUUGCAUUCUUUUCUUUUAACCAAGGUUUUGCCCCAUUGGGUUUUUCUAGUAAAGGUUUUUAAUGAGACAAAUUGUAAUAGGAGAUUGUGUACUCUUUUUCCUUCAUUAGGUUUUUAUCUGACAGAGUUUUUUCCUAAUAAGGUUUUAACGAGGCACACUUUCAUUGAUGGACAUCUAAGGGAGAGUAUUGUAAAAUGGAUGUCCACAUAACUCCCAUAACCCUCAAGAAUUCAUUUUCUUGAAAUCCUUAAAAAUUUAUAGGUUACGUUAAUUGUAUGUUUGUAACCUAUGGUGAUUGAGGCCCUAUAAAUAGAAGAUUGUAUUGUAUUCUUUUUUUAGUUCUAUAAUAAUAUCUAUAUUUAUAAAUUUUCAUUCAAUGCAUUGAUAAUAUAGAUAUAAAAAAAUUCUUUAAAUAAUAAAAAUAUUAAUUAGCACCCACAAUUAAUAAAAUAUAAAUGAAGGAUGUUUAUAUGGUUUAGUUUUUUUUUUAACUUUUUAAUUACCACACGUUUUUUUUAAACUUUUGUAUUAUGAUAAAUUAGAAUAUUUUUAAUACAAAUACAAAUUAUGAAUAUUGUAAAAAACAACUAGAGUAGUAAAAUGUUAAAAUUGUAGUAGGGUAGGAUUACAAUUUUUAGCAUUGAUGGUUGGUUAAUAUAUAUUAUGUUAAUGUUUUGUAUUAAAAAUGUUGGCACAAACUUUGCAUGAACUGAUUGGAAAGGGAAGAAGGUAGUACCAUAUAAUGCUCUACUCUCUUUAUAUUAAUACAUUUCGUAUUUUAUAGACUGAUGCUCAACUUUUCUUUUAUUUAAAACAAUGUAAUGUCUAAUUCUUUUCAAUUUGAUCCUUUUUUUAAUAUUUUUUUAUGUGUAUGAAUAUCGAAGUAAUUUUUGUUAUGAAAUCUAAUAACCCUAAUUUCCAAUAAGACUAACUUAUAAAAGAAAGUAUAAUGGAGGUUGAAAAUGAAGGCUAACUGAUUGGGGGUGAGUUAGUUGGGGCGAGCUGUUUGCAUGGAGACAGGUAAAAAAAAAAAACAGUAGAUAUGGAAUAUAUUCGAUCACGACUAAUACAUGUCGAAAUAAUUACUAUUAGAAUUAAUUUAAUAUAAAGAUUUGUUGAAAUUUUAAAUUUUAAAUAUUAUUAAAUAAUGUUUAAAAAAUAAUAGCCAUUAAUUAAUUAAAUUAAACUCCAAUGUUUUCUAGUUAAGUAAAAAAUGAUAUAUUAAAGGGAAAAAAAUUGACAGUUACAAGGAUGGACUUGCUGAAAUCCAUUGAUAACUAAACUAACAAACUAGAGUCGGGCACGAUAUAUCCCACAAGGCUGGCUGGCUGACAGGCAGGCAGUCAGGCACGCAGGAAACAAUCAAAACCAUCCAUCCUCUCUCUUCCUUUCUCCCUCUUUCUCUAUCAUUACCACCCAUUUUUGAACCCAUUUCUUCCCUUUCAAAGGUUUGUAUCUAUUCCGCAAUAAUCAAACAUAUACCAUGUUUCUUCUUUUCUUCUUAUACUAAUUCAUCUUGUUCCUGUUGAUAUCUAAAGGGAUACUUCGAGACCAGAAAGGAGAACAACAAUGAAGGUGUACGAGGAGAGUGGUUGCUUUGAUCCUCACUCCCUCACAGAUUGUCAGGAACUGAUGGGGUUGCCAGGGGCCACCCCCACCAACUGUCACAACAGUUUGGAAGACACCCUUACUGUCUCUUCUUACAAUCACCAUCACCAUGAGGAUGCCUCCGCCGCCUUGGAUAUGGAACCCCAGCAACACUACUUGCUUGAUAAUACUACCAACAGUCAUUCCCAUUUGAUUCCCUAUCUAACUCAGGACCUUCCUUAUGAUCAGUCCCAUUGGGAACGUUUCAAUGUGGUGCCAUCUUCUUCAUCCCCAGAAGCUGCUACCGCCGCCGCCGCCGCCGCCGGUGCUUACACUCCUACACCUGACCUUCUCAGCCUUUUCCAUUUACCUAGAUGCUCUUUCCUCCCUAAUCCCUCCAUUUCCUUUGAAACCACCCCUGGCUCCCCUUCUGUUGUGUACGACCCACUUUUCCAUCUCAACCUGCCUCCUCAACCUCCUGUUUUCAGGGAGCUGCUGCAGUCUC